AGUCAAAGCACCUGUUGAGCACCAGCGUGUACGUGCGGAACGCAGGCUAGGCUCACCAACAAUGUUGGGAUGGUUGAUUCCUUUAAGGACCUCGGCCUCCUCGUUCAGACGCUUCUGGUAAACUUGCACCUGUUUGCUGGCACAUUUGCUGUUCAUCUUCUUGAUGGCCCAGGGAGACAUUUUCCCCGGUCUAGAAUAGAAGAUGUGAGGAAACGAUCACUGCUUAUUCUCGAAGCUUCUGGCCGUCUUCUCACCUGUCCAUGAGGUAGACGCUGACUCCUGUCCCACAGCCCAGCUUCUUCAUGAAAGGGGAGGCCGGGAUGUUGAUGGGAGUUCCUCCUCCACUUCCAACGCUCCUCACUCUGGACGUCUGGGGGGUCUUGAAUCCCUCCAUUCUGUCCAAAAGAAACCACACAGCAUAUGUAUACGUCUCGAAAGUGAGUAUUAAGAGUGACCGAGUGCUGUCCAACGCAACAUUAAGCACAACGGCUAAUGCUAACUAGCCAGCUAACCUUCCCUGGAAGAGUUACAAUGGUGACAAGAAGUGGUAUUUGGUAGUGUAGUGUUUAAACAAACAGCUAACCUCUACGUUACCUUUUUUCGACUCGGCUUCACAAACUGUUACCUUCGACGAGAACUUAGCAAGAAUCGCGCCGAAAGUUCAAAAAAUACAGUCGACGGAGCGAAGCAGCCUACGGGCGCCUCUGAGGGACAUAAAGGCUAAAAAAACAAGGACGCUAAAUGAACGCAGCAGAAUGGAGUACACUAGUCCGCCAUGUUGGUGAGCAAAGUUGUACGCUGCUAUACCGAGAUGAAAUGGAUGGACUUUAUUUGCAGGUGAUUUCAUUGACCAGCUCCUUCCCUCAAACCAAAGGAGGGUUGUUCAUUUAAAUCAAUUGGAAAGAAAACCUGCAGCGUCUCGGCGCCCCCAUGGCAGGAGUUUGACACCCCUGAUUUGGAGCAAUACUUCGCUCAGCAGUGUGCCGAGGCACAGCUUGUUCCCCGCUCUGUCCCCUUUGGCCGUGCCUCGGCCAAGCAGGCCUACAAGGAGCAGGAAUGUGACAGCGGCUGUAAAUGGGAAGACUGCCUCGGUCAUGUUUACAACAUGAAGACAGGGAACACGAACUGGAUGUAUCGUAGUCUAAACAAUCACACGUGUCACAUCUCAGCCAAAAAAAGCCGCUUGCAACCCUGCUGAUGACAUCACCAUGGAUGCCUUUUUACACCUGCUAAAAACACUUUUCCUGAGAGAAAAAUCAUUUAGUCACACAGACAGAGCCCUGGUGUGUGCCGUCACCAUUUAUUAUGACAACUGGCUCACAUCCUCCCACCUGACUCAGCGUGGAAAUGAGCAAGCACAACAUGAAGCCAGGCUGCAUCGGCGUGGGGAUCAGCGGCCAUGUUGCUGGCAGUCUUGUGGAUGCCUGGACCCACCCUUGGAGCGAAACAUGCCACUUGCCGACACCCGUCUCUUUAAUCUGAGUUUUUUUCCAUCCCACUUUGAGCGUGUUAUUAUGAGACCUCACAUAAAGACCUCACCUCAGUGGCAAGGUCUCUCCCCCUUCCUGUUUUCCUCUUUUGUGGUGUUUGUCACACUUACGUGUUUUACAUCAUCAAAAACUUUGUACAGAAAGUUUAUAUGAUAAAAAUGUGAAGCUACAUGGUUGUCUAUGAAGUGUUUGGUGUUACCAUUUAUGGGUGUCUGGGGGCGAUGAAUUGGUCGUACAUUACUUUCUAUGGGGAAAUUUGCUUUGGUUAGAGUCCAUUUUGGUUUGAGUCGGCCCUUCUGGGAGGAAUUCACCGCUGGUGCGUCCAUACUGUUGUACGCCAGUCCUGUAGCGCCAUCUCCUGGACUGGGUGGGUCACUGCACAACUUGGGCCCCGAUGCAAGCAGACUGUUAAAUUCUGUUCCUUUUUGGACACGUGUGCCCUCGUUCUGCCAAGUUUCAUCAAUGUACAUGUGACGCUCAUUAUUGAUCAAACCCAAAAGACGUAUUCAU